rnacentral:tRNA from 1 species
GAGGAUUAGCUCAGCUGGUUAGAGCGCCUGCUUCACACGCAGGAGGUCACUGGUUCGAGUCCGGCAUUCUCC